GAUGAAGAACGUAGCGAAAUGCGAUACGUAGUGUGAAUUGCAGAAUUCCGUGAACCAUCAAAUCUUUGAACGCAUAUUGCGCUCGAGGCUUCGGCCGAGAGCAUGUCUGCCUCAGCGUCGGUAUUACCCCUCGCUUCUCAACCCCUGGUUGAUGCCUGCCUGCCUUUGCAGUUGGCUAGAAGCGGAUCUGGCUUUCCCAAUUGCCUUUGGUAGUUGGGUCAGCUGAAGCACAGAGGCUUGAGCAAGGACCCUUAUUGGGCUUCAACUGGAUAGGUAGAACUGGUCUUAGGACCAACUACACGAAGUUGUUGCUUGUGGUCUUUAUCUGGAGGCCAGCAGGAAACCUUUAUACCUUCGACCUGAGCUCAGGCAAGAUUACCCGCUGAACUUAAGCAUAUCAAUAAGCGGAGGA
rnacentral:misc_RNA from 1 species